rnacentral:pre_miRNA from 1 species
ACAAUCAUCUGGAAUUCUUGUUAAAAUGUAGAUUCUGAAUGCUUAGGUCUGGGUGGGGCCCGAGUUUGUGUAUUUCUAACAAGUUCUCAGAGCAUGCAGAU